UAACACUGAACACAAGUGAAAAGUUAUAAAAUAUUUUAUUAGCGGUCUUAUUUCUUCAGAGCCUCUAACUUGAUGGCCAUACACACUGCACCUCCCUCUGCCCAGCUGGGUCGUUUGGGUUUGCUUUCUGCCACACGCUGAUCAAGCCGGCAUUUGCUGAAAGACUGAGUUGGUUCUGACUAUGCUUCACCAUCUGCUUGGCAGGUGUGAAGUCGGGGAAUUUUCUCUUUCCUUCUUGGAGUAAAGGACAAGUAAAGAUUUACAGACGCCACAGAUAAUACUGUGAGAUACACACCCGGAGCCAGCUGGCGCAUGCCCUUGCGCAUGUGUGCACACACUCGUAGGCACACACACACUGGACCCUCUCGGACCCCAGCCAGCCCACAGGCAGGCUGCGUUAGGAAGCUACAGCCAGGCACGGGCAGAGGAAGGCACCUCUCCACUGAGACAGGGUGGGUGGGUGGGUGGGGUAGGGGUAAGAAGCUGGGUCCCCAGGCCAGCUCGGGACCCCCCUACAAAAGGCAACUGAGGAAAGAUGAGCAGGCUGCCCCCCAUCCCCAUGGUCUGCACGGUGACAGCAAGUCCAGAACUAUCCUCGUUUCGCACUUUACACCUUGAAAAGCACUUUCGAGUCCAUUCACACACUGAGAAUAGGAGGCAAGAGGGCAGAGCAAAGUAAUAGAGCAUUUGGGGUCAGACCUGGCUCUCUCCUGGUCCUAGCACCCAGGGCCUCACUGAGCCUCCCCAGCCUCGGUGCUCUGGCUGCACCAAGCAUGCGGGGGGCGGGGGAGCGGUGAGGGGGAAUCAAUACACGUUAGCGAGUGAGGACCCAAGCAGAGGAGCUGGUUAGGCACACAGCCGGGCCGCCCAGUGAGGAAUGAUGGAUGCUAGGCACACGGGGGGAUGUUCAGCCGUGAACCCACCGGAGGCCUUUCUACCUCAUGCACUGGCCUGCCCCUGACUUUUCUCAGGUGGGAAAAUGACCUUUCUGUGGAUCUCUAGGAUGAGUUUUUACCUAAAAGCUUAAGUCCUGUUUCUUGGUCCAGAAGGGCCCUCUCCCAAGGUGACUUAAUCAGAUUCCAGCACCUUUGUAAAAUGUUUACCUGGUGUCUUUCCUUCCCAUGUCACCCAUACGAAGCUUUGGAAGCAUUUAAUUCUCAAGCUGAUGUUCAGUAAGAGUAGGUGAAAGGGAGGUCUGAGGUACUGCAGACAGAGGCGAAAGGCUCCCAAGAUGGGCUGGUCAGCAAAGCCAGGACCUGAUGCUUCUGAGGAGCCACGGGGGUUAGAACACAGUGGAGCCCCUUCCUCUCCUCAACCCCAUGGAUCAGAGAUUCUCUGGACUUACAUUCUCACCUAUACUGACAACCAGAAAGGCAGCACAUCACUCAUCCGAAGUUUCCUCCUUCCUUCUAAAUGAAGAAAUGAAAUCACAGAUGAAGGAAGAUCCAAGUCAUUACAUUCAGAAAUUACUUAAAAGAAUUAGACUUGGCAAGUGGCCCUGGUUUAAAUUUCAAUGUGUGAAAGAUGGCACGUCACCCUCCCCCCCCACCUCUUAACUAAGCCCAUUUAGGAAAAUAAAAUCAACAAGUUACUUGGAUAUUAUCUUUUGUUGUUGCUUAGUUGCUCAGUUGUGUUGACUCUUUGUGACCUCAUGGACUAUAGCCUGCCAGGCUCCUAUGUCCAUGGGAUUCUCCAGGUAAGAAUACUGGAGUGGGUUGCCGUUUCCUUCUCCAGGGUAUCUUCCCGAUCCUGGGAUCGAACCCACAUCUCCUGCUUGGCAGGCGGUUUAUUUACUACUGAGCUACUUUGGGAAGCCCGGAUAUUAUCUCAGGCCAUUGCAGUAAGGGUUUUUUUUUUUUUUAUCAAACUUCCAUACAACAAAAAAGCAGAUUCACUCGGAGACCCUGAUUCCAGGUUACAGCAUCCUAGAAGGGGAAAAUAGUUCUGUUUCCUUCAGAAACCUUCUUUGGCCUGAACCCCCUUCUACCCUGUGGCCACACUGAUUCUGACAAGCACACAGGCUCCUGCCAGGAAUUCAAAGGCCAUUAACCCUACAGAAGUGCCCAUGAUUCUUGCCCUAGAGGGAUUUUGCUUAGGUGAUCGCAUCAUUGGAAAGAAGUUUCCAAUCCGGAAAAACUGAAAAGAUGAUGGUGCCGCUGAGUUGCCAUGGAAACCAGAUGUGGGAGACAGCAUCUCCCAUGGCUCUCAGUACACAGUUUGGUGGAGCUCCAGAGUCUUGGCCACACUAAGCUUUUGCCAGUUUUUUACAAAGGCCUUGGAUUCUCAGGAAAUCUCAGCAUCUUCC
ensembl:lncRNA